CCCGAUAAAUGCUUUAUGUCUGUUCUUUCCCAUCUUGACGUGGGGAUUCUCAUGCACACUCGUUUUACCACCACCCCAAAGCAUCAUUCUAAUUCCCCUAGAACAGUUGCUUAAACCUCAAGCCAAACAAAAAUCCUCUACCAUAAAUACACCCAUAUAUGUAUAUAUAACUUAUUAACUUAUCAUAAAAAAUUUAUAUGUUAGCACUAACUUAAUCCCAUAUUAAAGAUAUAAUUUAUUUAUGCCCUCAUUCCUCUGAACCCUUCAUUUUUUCCCAAUUAAACCCCUAUAAUUAACAUAUAAUAAACCCAACCGUACUGUCUAACAAAGCCAUGACAAAAUAUAGCGAAAUCUCCCACUUCAGCCACCCCCAUCACAAGCUCAAGUUCGAGUACUCGGAAUUCCCCUUCAAGUGCGAUGGAUGCAAAGAGAUUGGCAUUGGCUCACGCUACAAGUGCUCCAUUUGUGACUUCGACCUCCACAUGUACUGCGCCCUCCCAUCCACUAACAUUUGCCACCCUUUUUACACCAAAUGCUCCUUCGAGCUCCUCUCCAGGCCCCCCGGCAACUCACCGCGCUACUGCAACGCCUGUGAGAAAGAUGUCACCGGAUUUGUUUACCACUGCUACUCUUGCGGUUUCGACCUGCACCCGUGCUGCGCCAAGCUGCCGAUGGUUCUGGACGACGGAGAGACGAAGCUGUACUUGUACAGGAAGGUGAGCUCGUCGUGCCACCGAUGCGGGAGAAAGGGGAGGAGCUGGAGCUACAGGUCGAAGUGCAAGAAGUACAAUCUACACGUGGCGUGCGUGAGAGAGAUGCUGAUGGAGAGCUGGUCUGAUAUUUACGCCGGGAGAGGAAAGGCAAUUACGUCGUCUUCGUCAUCAAGGUCGAAUAAGGCUAAGCUUGAGUCGACGAUUCCGAGCCUCAAGAACACGCUGCAGACACAUCACAGGAAGUCGGGGAAGGGGAAGGUGAAGAAGUGUUGCGAGAUGGCCGGGUUGGCUGUACAGUUCGUCAUCUCUGCGGUUUUGGGAGACCCGACGACCCUCAUCGCCGGCCUUAUUGGCUCCCUGAUUUCGCGAGCUUGAUGCAUGAGAUCAUCAUAUAUACCGUGUAAAGUGAUGAUCGAUGGCUGCUGUAAUAUUAAUUGGCCAGUGGUUUAAUUAAUUUGGUGGAGGGAAGGCUGAUAUUGGUAGAAAAUUACAUAUAUGUGGCCGAACCAGGGUGCUGGGUUGGUUUAAAGGGCAUUAUAUGGUGCUUAUUCAACCAAAAAUUUGUUACUUCCACAAGGCUGUCUGCAAAGCUAUGAUGUGUCAAGACAAAGUGUCGAGACACCACAGUUACCACCAACCACUGUAAGGAGUGACCUUCGCCACUUCCCUAAUACUCAAGAAGAGGCAGGCCUCGCUAGAGUUGGCUUACUUCUCUCAUCGCGGGAAACCAAAUAAUCACUAGAAGGCCACACCAAUUGUAAGACAAAAAUGGCCCUAGGCAAUCGCCCUAGUGAGACGCGCAAGUCAGAAAAACACGCACCACAAGGAUCUGCUAAAGUUGCCAUCGACCAUAGCUGAUCCCUGAGGCGUUCGCUGAUUUCCGGUAGCCAAUAUCCGAUCGCCAAGGCCCCUCGCUGCUCACCGGUCAUCCUCGCCAUAUGAGCCCCAUUCUGCACCAGAGUGUGCCUUCAACAAUUAAAUGAACAAGACACGUCCGACUACUAUUUUUUGUAAGAUAGAAACCUUUCUCUAGCCAAGUGUACCAAGAUUUAGCCUGAAUGGGAAACAAGAUGCCACUGUUAGUCCUACCCAUCUUUGCAGCUAUAAAUAGUGCAACCCGCACUAUAACAAAGGGGGGAUCCAAAAGUGAGAUAAAAACAAGUUAGUAACUUUUCCUUUCUGGAUAGAGCUUCUACACUCCAUCUUUGUAACUGCCCCAAGAGCAGGAUCAAUCUUAGCUUACUCUUGAGGGUUUGGAGUUCAUAAAUAAUACUAACUAAAGUGGAUGUAGGUUAUCUUUUUUGGGUCGAACCACUAUAAAUCUUUGUCUCAUUCAUUUA